AACGAACGCUGGCGGCAUGCCUAACACAUGCAAGUCGAACGAGAUCUUCGGGUCUAGUGGCGCACGGGUGCGUAACGCGUGGGAAUCUGCCCUUUGGUUCGGAAUAACAGUUGGAAACGACUGCUAAUACCGGAUGAUGACGAAUGUCCAAAGAUUUAUCGCCAGAGGAUGAGCCCGCGUAGGAUUAGCUAGUUGGUGUGGUAAAGGCGCACCCAGGCGACGAUCCUUAGCUGGUCUGAGAGGAUGAUCAGCCACACUGGGACUGAGACACGGCCCAGACUCCUACGGGAGGCAGCAGUGGGGAAUAUUGGACAAUGGGCGAAAGCCUGAUCCAGCAAUGCCGCGUGGGUGACGAAGGCCUUAGGGUUGUAAAGCUCUUUUACCCGGGAUGAUAAUGACAGUACCGGGAGAAUAAGCUCCGGCUAACUCCGUGCCAGCCGCCGCCGUAA
rnacentral:rRNA from 1 species